CGCUCCCGGACAUGUCGGAGGAGCGCGACGAGUGCGACGGCAUGGCGACUGUGGCGGGGGACCGCUUCCUCGCCGUCAGCGGGUACCGCACGGCGAGGCAGGGCGGGUUCGAGCGCGACGCCGAGUGGUUCGACCCGGCGGCGCGGGCGUGGCGGAGGCUGGAGCGCGUCCGGGCGCCGCCGUCGGCCGCGCACGUCGUGGUCCGGGGCCGCGUGUGGUGCAUCGAGGGGAACGCUAUGAUGGAGUGGAUGGGCACCCGCCGCGGGUGGACCGAGGUCGGGCCGUACCCGCCGGGGCUCAAGGCCGGCACCGCGCGCGCCGUCUGCGUCGGCGGCGGCGAGAAGGUUGUGGUCACCGGCGCCCUCGACGGCGAGGGCGGCGGCGCGCGACACGCGGUCUGGGUGUUCGACGUCAAGACCAAGAACUGGACCGUGGUGCGCCCGCCGCCGGAGUUCGCCGGCUUCGUCUUCUCCGUCACGUCCGUCCGCAUCUGAACAUCUGGAUCUCGCCCUCCCCUGAUCCAGACCAA
rnacentral:lncRNA from 1 species